rnacentral:rRNA from 1 species
UAGGGAAUCUUCCGCAAUGGACGAAAGUCUGACGGAGCGACGCCGCGUGAGCGAAGAAGGUCUUCGGAUCGUAAAGCUCUGUUGUUAGGGAAGAAGAAGUGCCGUUCGAUCAGGGCGGCACGGUGACGGUACCUAACGAGAAAGCCCCGGCUAACUACGUGCCAGCAGCCGCGGUAAUACGUAGGGGGCGAGCGUUGUCCGGAAUUAUUGGGCGUAAAGCGCGCGCAGGCGGUCCCUUAAGUCUGAUGUGAAAGCCCACGGCUUAACCGUGGAGGGUCAUUGGAAACUGGGGGACUUGAGUGCAGAAGAGGAGAGCGGAAUUCCACGUGUAGCGGUGAAAUGCGUAGAGAUGUGGAGGAACACCAGUGGCGAAGGCGGCUCUCUGGUCUGUAACUGACGCUGAGGCGCGAAAGCGUGGGGAGCAAACAGG